rnacentral:rRNA from 1 species
GCACAAGCGGUGGAGCAUGUGGUUAAUUCGAUGAUACGCGAAAACCUUACCUGGGCUUGAACUGUGCAUGACAGGUGUAGAGAUACACCCUCCGCAAGGCAUGUACAGAGGUGCUGCAUGGUUGUCGUCAACUCGUGUCGUGAGAUGUUGGGUUAAGUCCCGCAACGAGCGCAACCCCUACCCUUUGUUGCUACCAGAUAAUGCUGGGCACUCUAAGGGAACUGCCGGUGAUAAACCGGAGGAAGGUGGGGAUGACGUCAAAUCAUCACGGCCCUUAUGUCCAGGGCUACACACGUGCUACAAUGGCCGGUACAAAGCGUUGCAAACCUGCGAAGGGGAGCCAAUCGCAAAAAACCGGUCUCAGUUCAGAUUGCAGUCUGCAACUCGACUGCGUGAAGUCGGAAUCGCUAGUAAUCGCGAAUCAGCAUGUCGCGGUGAAUACGUUCCCGGGCCUU